rnacentral:rRNA from 1 species
UACGUAGGGUGCGAGCGUUGUCCGGAAUUACUGGGCGUAAAGAGCUCGUAGGUGGUUUGUCGCGUUGUCCGUGAAAACUCACAACUCAAUUGUGGGCGUGCGGGCGAUACGGGCAGACUGGAGUACUGCAGGGGAGACUGGAAUUCCUGGUGUAGCGGUGGAAUGCGCAGAUAUCAGGAGGAACACCGGUGGCGAAGGCGGCAUCCUGGACCGAGAUUGACGCUGAUGCGCGAAAGCCAGGGGAGCAAACGGG